rnacentral:RNase_P_RNA from 1 species
CCGCGUUGCCGCUGCCGCUUUGCGCGGGGGAGGAAAGUCCGGGCAACACAGAGCACCAUACUUCCUAACGGGAAGGCAUCGAAGGAUGACAGACAGUGCCACAGAAAAAAUACCGCCCGCAAGGGUAAGGGUGAAAACGCGAGGUAAGAGCUCACGUCGCCGUCAGUGAUGCCGGCGGAGGUAAACCUUAUGGGUUGAAAGACCAAAUAAACCGAGGCUUGAGGGCUGCUCGUCCGACUCGGAGGGUAGGUUGAUGGAGACCUGCGGUGACGCAGGCCCUAGAUAAAUGGCAACAUAGUACAGAACCCGGCUUAUAGGUU